ACUACGGGAGGCAGCAGUAGGGAAUAUUGCUCAAUGGGGGAAACCCUGAAGCAGCAACGCCGCGUGGAGGAUGAAGGUUUUCGGAUUGUAAACUCCUUUUGUUAGAGAAGAUAAUGACGGUAUCUAACGAAUAAGCACCGGCUAACUCCGUGCCAGCAGCCGCGGUAAUACGGAGGGUGCAAGCGUUACUCGGAAUCACUGGGCGUAAAGAGGGCGUAGGCGGGAUAGCAAGUCAGAUGUGAAAUCCUAUGGUUUAAACAUAGAACUGCAUUUGAAACUGUGAUUCUUGAGUAUGGGAGAGGUGGGUGGAAUUCGUGGUGUAGGGGUAAAAUCCGUAGAGAUCAAGAAGAAUACUCAUUGAGAAGG
rnacentral:rRNA from 1 species